rnacentral:rRNA from 1 species
UACGUAGGGGGCUAGCGUUGUCCGGAAUCAUUGGGCGUAAAGAGCGCGUAGGCGGCCAGAUAAGUCCGGUGUGAAAGUCACAGGCUCAACCUGUGAAUGCCGCUGGAAACUGUCUGGCUAGAGUCCGGAAGGGGCGAGUGGAAUUCCUGGUGUAGCGGUGAAAUGCGUAGAUAUCUGGAGGAACACCGGUGGCGAAGGCGGCAUCCUGGACCGGUAUUGACGCUGAGGCGCGAAAGCCAGGGGAGCAAACGGG